GUUCAGUAACAGCAAAGAGAACUAACAUGCAAAUGAUAAAUCCAGUUUCACCAACUCAACCAGCAGAUAUGCUCUACAAAAUUUUGCCAAGAGAUCAACCAUAUUUCAAUGUUUUAAUUCAAUUAAACAAUAUCCAAGGAAACAAAAUCAGGAGGAAAGAUGCAACAGACUAGGGAAAUCAUAAAAACAUGCCCAAGGAUGUAAAAGGAAAUGAAGACCUACAAAUCUAGCUGUUCUGCCUUUUGGAACAUGAGCAGGUGCACAACUCAUAACUUUAUACCAGUGAAAAUAACUAGUCAUAACUUGUAAAAUAUUAGAUCUACUUAAGGCAUCAAAGAAUAUCCGCAUUUAUAUCCCAUGUACUCUUGCACAUCCUACCUAUAUUCUCCUUAGCAUGAUAACUAAGGUUCAUCAAUUCUAAAUUAGCACAAGCAGAAGCAGUAUAUAUAGUAGGACAUUGAAUGUGGAGACAAUCCACAACCAAAUGGAAAAGCUAGUUGACAAGGAUGUGAUGCUUGUCAGUUAGUGACAAUAUAUGGCAGCAGACAUGCUUUUGCUGUUAGUUAUGUGUGCCCUAGAGCAUGCAUUAAUCUUG
rnacentral:misc_RNA from 1 species